GCACAGAGGACCUCAGUGCUGGGGCCAAAGGGCAACACUUGAGCACUGUUGUGACGGGGGAGGGGCAACCAAGCCAAGAAAGGAGAGAAGGGUUGGGUAGGCCUGGAGCCCCUUCCCAGGGCUGGCCAGGAGUUUGACAGAGACCCCAGACCUCUGGUCUGCUGACAGCCACACAAGCGCUGCCUGCUCCAGCAGAACCCAGGGCAGGGUGGAGAUCAAGCAGACAGGCAUCCUAUCUGCUGGCCUCACCCUGACCCCCUGCACCUCUACACUGCACUCCACCCCAACAGGCACACAGUGGGACCUGGGAGUGUGGGACAGCCGUGCAGUUCAGGGCUUGGCCCCAGGUCCAGACUUGCACAGAGGGGACCGAGCUGCCAGCUCAGGACCAAAGCAGAGAAGGAGGAUGCAGUAUGGGUGAGGGCAGCUGGGCAAGCCUGGGCUGGUCUCAGCCAGUUUGGCCCUGGGCCCUGGAGCUCAGACCCUGAUGAAAUGGGGGCUAACCCUGAUCUCAUGCUGCUCUCCUAGGGAAGUAGGCCCUGGGAAUGUGGAGGAGGCCCAGUGUCUGUCCCCCGCCCCAAAGCGUGUACUGUCUGUUCAUCUACCAGUGCCCCUGUGUUCCAGCCCUGAGGAGCACAGGAGCCUGUGGGUGGGAGGCACUCCAUCCCUGGCAAGAUCCUCUUAGUCAAGAGCUCUGGGUCCUCCUCCACCUGCCCAGGUGACUGGCUUCACUGUAUGCAUCUAACUCUGCCUCCCAAGGAUGAGCCAUAUUCUCAUGGGCCUCUUACGAGACAGCUCUGUUGUGCUGGGAGAGCUAAAGCAUGAAAAAUAACAGGAAUCCCAGGCCUGGCUAAGAAGAGACAGCUCUGGUGAGGGGAAGUAAUUAUUUAUUCAUUCUUGGAGGAGGUACUGGGGAUUGAACCCAGGACCUCAUGCAUGCUAAGUAUGCACUCUACCACUUGAGCUAUACCCUCCCCCUGAAGAGACAGCUCUGGAUCAAUAACAGAAUCUCUGGAUGGCCUCAGCUCAGAGCAUGGAGGGUGGAAGAGCCUCAAUGGGCAGUCAACCACCUCCAUCAGUUCUGAAGGGCAGACCGAGGGCAAGGGAAAGUCAAGUGUCCGGCCAGGGUUCCCCACUCCCAGCCCAGAGAGAAAGGUCAUGUCUAGGGACCCUGGGGAAAUCUGACCCGCCCUAAGAGAGUUUCCCUCCCACCCUUCCUUCCAGCCUUGCACGCCUACCAGCCUGGUACACCUCCCUGACCAGCCUAAGUGGCAAUGGUUGGGUCAAGAUACAGCACUGGUGGUCCAGGGGCUUCCCCAGUGGAACAGUGGAAGGAAGUCUACCCUCACCCCCACCUCAGGGCUGAACAGGGCAGAACCUGCCAGGAAGGCUUGGAUUAAAGAAUGGAUAGAGGUGGCAGGAGCAGCUUUGUGUUCAGGAAAAAGCACUGGGCUGAGGCCAGCUCUGGGUUCCAGCCAGCUCUGUCCCUGCUGGAGGCAUGGCCUGGGGUCCAGUCCUGCUCUGGGCUCAGUUUCCAUUCUGAGGAGCCUGAGUGGCCGCUGAGGCCCCUCCUGCCGUGAUUUUCCAACAGCGUUGUCAGCUUUGUGCAGACUGGGACUCACUAAGAUUGGCAGCUACCCAAGGUCUCCUAACAAUGGUAGGAAGGCCAAAGUCCCGGGGGCGUCCAAGGGUAUAAGGACAGCCCUCUGCAGGACCAGCAGGGACUGGCAUGAGGAAUCUUGGCUCUCACCCCAGGGCAGGUCUAGAUAACACUUUUCUUCCCACAUCAUUCCUCCACCCACAAGUUGGGUUCAAGUAAGUCCUUCUGAAAGCCCCCUAGGGAUGGCUGUAUUCAGGCUGAGGAGGUGGUGGGAUGGGGAGACUGAGAACUUACUUAAUCAGAUUGGAACCUGACCCUCUGAAAGACUAAGAAACUUGACGAGUUAUGCCCCAUGACUAGGACAGAAUGGGGCAGGAAUCCAAAUACUAAAUUCCAAAGCUUUCUGCCACUGAGAACCCUUCAUUUGGAAAAUGACAGACUGCUGAGUGACAGACAUCUCACCAUUCUAAACAGUGUAUGCACUUUAGUUGGUCUUCAAUACCUAAAUCCAGGUUUGACUAUGCCUUGGGCAACCCAUCUCCCUCCCGUGCCUCAGAUUCUACAGCUAUGCUUCGGGAGGAGAGAACAGAGAUCGGGGUGUCUGCGCUCCCUAACGUUCCUGACUUCGGAUUCUGGAUGCGAGCCCUGGACGGCCGCCGCUCAAUUCAAAGUUAGAGGCGUCUAUGCAGAGGGUGGGGACGGAGGGACGUUCAGAGCGGGAAGGAGGAUGGGCCUUCAUAGGCGGCCAGGCCUCAGCCCACCUCUCCAGCCUCACCAGCCGCCUGCUACCUCACCGCUCUGCCAUGGGGCCUGGGAAGUGAUGGAACUUGAAAGACCCGAAUCGCCAUUCCCUUUGAGCCCAUCCAACUGCUGCGUGAGCCGGGCAAGCUGUACUGAGUCCUCGGCUUCCUCUGAAAUAUGGGGGGAAGUAGAUAACUUGGGGUUGGUUACAAAUAAGCGAUAAGUAGGUAAGAAAGCACGGCGAACCCAGGCAGGACAUGAGAGAGGAACGUGGUCAAGGGUCCAGCGGGACCCUGAGCUCCACCCUCCAAAACCGGCUCUUCCGCCGGCCGCGGCAACGGACCACGCCCGCGGACGUCGCUAGCACCCUAUAAGGCGCUGCAAUGCCCUGCAGAGCCCAGACCAGGUUACUCCGGGUGACAAAGGCGCACGCAGAGGGCGGAGACAUAGGAGAGAGGGGAGGGUGGAGAAUGGGGGACGAAGGUCCGCGGUGGGAGGAGGGCCAGAGGGGAGAGAAGGGGCUCGGGAGGCCGCCAAGCGGAUCCCAGGGCAGAACCCUAGCAACAGGCCGACCAUUGGAAGAGCGGGGCGGGCUGGCUGUGAUUGGCUCUCGCUGCUGCCCGCGAUUGGAAGGCGGCCGCGUCCCCGCCCCGCUCACAUCCGGGUGUCUGGCCGGCCUGGCCCCUUCGCUAUCCCGGGUUGUCAGAGCCCGUGGGCUUUCAGGGCGGCCCCGAGGUACACGGCCGCGCAGAGCCGAGCAGCUUACCCACGUGGGUUCGCGGGUGCGAAUGCGUGCAAAUGUGCCGCCACAGAAAAUGAGGCCCCUGGCACACUCAGACACCAAGAGCCUGCCCCCGGGGCCCAGGUUGUUUCGGAUGGAAGGUGACCAGAGAGCGGCUUGAGGGUGGGGCUCCGGGGUGGGUCGGGCUCGAGGGCGCUGCAGCCGUGCCGGGGUCUGGGUGUAACCCGGGUAGCGGGAAGGCUUGCAGGAACCGGAACUCGGCUGACACUCGGGGGCCGGGGCCUGGAGAAGUGGGGCGGGAACAGGACGGCGCCACUGGAGCCAGCCGCUAGGUGGAGGGCGGGGCCGGGGCCCAGAUUGGGGCCUGGAUGGAUGCUGAAUCCUCCCAACUCCAGGGUCCUGUAAAGUAUUUGGUAACCCAAGUAAUGAUACAGGGGCAGUCAGAACAGUCGCUGGUGCAUUCGUAGGUGCUGAAGCCUUGAGGGGUGGGUCAGGGCUGUUCUGUUAUCUAGGUUCGUUUUGGUCCUGUCGCACUGAGCUAAAUAAAUCUUAAAUCCUAA